rnacentral:rRNA from 1 species
CGGGAGACACACGGCGGGUGCUAACGUCCGUCGUGAAGAGGGAAACAACCCAGACCGCCAGCUAAGGUCCCAAAGUCAUGGUUAAGUGGGAAACGAUGUGGGAAGGCCCAGACAGCCAGGAUGUUGGCUUAGAAGCAGCCAUCAUUUAAAGAAAGCGUAAUAGCUCACUGGUCGAGUCGGCCUGCGCGGAAGAUGUAACGGGGCUAAACCAUGCACCGAAGCUGCGGCAGCGACACUAUGUGUUGUUGGGUAGGGGAGCGUUCUGUAAGCCUGUGAAGGUGUGCUGUGAGGUAUGCUGGAGGUAUCAGAAGUGCGAAUGCUGACAUAAGUAACGAUAAAGCGGGUGAAAAGCCCGCUCGCCGGAAGACCAAGGGUUCCUGUCCAACGUUAAUCGGGGCAGGGUGAGUCGACCCCUAAGGCGAGGCCGAAAGGCGUAGUCGAUGGGAAACAGGUUAAUAUUCCUGUACUUGGUGUUACUGCGAAGGGGGGACGGAGAAGGCUAUGUUGGCCGGGCGACGGUUGUCCCGGUUUAAGCGUGUAGGCUGGUUUUCCAGGCAAAUCCGGAAAAUCAAGGCUGAGGCGUGAUGACGAGGCACUACGGUGCUGAAGCAACAAAUGCCCUGCUUCCAGGAAAAGCCUCUAAGCAUCAGGUAACAUCAAAUCGUACCCCAAACCGACACAGGUGGUCAGGUAGAGAAUACCAAGGCGCUUGAGAGAACUCGGGUGAAGGAACUAGGCAAAAUGGUGCCGUAACUUCGGGAGAAGGCACGCUGAUAUGUAGGUGAAGUCCCUUGCGGAUGGAGCUGAAAUCAGUCGAAGAUACCAGCUGGCUGCAACUGUUUAUUAAAAACACAGCACUGUGCAAACACGAAAGUGGACGUAUACGGUGUGACGCCUGCCCGGUGCCGGAAGGUUAAUUGAUGGGGUUAGCGGUAACGCGAAGCUCUUGAUCGAAGCCCCGGUAAACGGCGGCCGUAACUAUAACGGUCCUAAGGUAGCGAAAUUCCUUGUCGGGUAAGUUCCGACCUGCACGAAUGGCGUAAUGAUGGCCAGGCUGUCUCCACCCGAGACUCAGUGAAAUUGAACUCGCUGUGAAGAUGCAGUGUACCCGCGGCAAGACGGAAAGACCCCGUGAACCUUUACUAUAGCUUGACACUGAACAUUGAGCCUUGAUGUGUAGGAUAGGUGGGAGGCUUUGAAGUGUGGACGCCAGUCUGCAUGGAGCCGACCUUGAAAUACCACCCUUUAAUGUUUGAUGUUCUAACGUUGGCCCCUGAUCGGGGUUGCGGACAGUGUCUGGUGGGUAGUUUGACUGGGGCGGUCUCCUCCUAAAGAGUAACGGAGGAGCACGAAGGUUGGCUAAUCCUGGUCGGACAUCAGGAGGUUAGUGCAAUGGCAUAAGCCAGCUUGACUGCGAGCGUGACGGCGCGAGCAGGUGCGAAAGCAGGUCAUAGUGAUCCGGUGGUUCUGAAUGGAAGGGCCAUCGCUCAACGGAUAAAAGGUACUCCGGGGAUAACAGGCUGAUACCGCCCAAGAGUUCAUAUCGACGGCGGUGUUUGGCACCUCGAUGUCGGCUCAUCACAUCCUGGGGCUGAAGUAGGUCCCAAGGGUAUGGCUGUUCGCCAUUUAAAGUGGUACGCGAGCUGGGUUUAGAACGUCGUGAGACAGUUCGGUCCCUAUCUGCCGUGGGCGCUGGAGAACUGAGGGGGGCUGCUCCUAGUACGAGAGGACCGGAGUGGACGCAUCACUGGUGUUCGGGUUGUCAUGCCAAUGGCACUGCCCGGUAGCUAAAUGCGGAAGAGAUAAGUGCUGAAAGCAUCUAAGCACGAAACUUGCCCCGAGAUGAGUUCUCCCUGACCCUUUAAGGGUCCUGAAGGAACGUUGAAGACGACGACGUUGAUAGGCCGGGUGUGUAAGCGCAGCGAUGCGUUGAGCUAACCGGUACUAAUGAACCGUGAGGCUUAACCUUACAAC